rnacentral:rRNA from 1 species
UACGUAGGGGGGCAAGCGUUGUCCGGAAUUAUUGGGCGUAAAGAGCGCGUAGGCGGUCCGAUAAGUCGGCUGUGAAAGUCAGGGGCUCAACCCUUGAAAGCCGGCCGAUACUGUCGGACUAGAGUCCGGAAGAGGCAAGUGGAAUUCCCGGUGUAGCGGUGAAAUGCGCAGAUAUCGGGAGGAACACCAAUGGCGAAGGCGGUGCUCUGGGCCGGAACUGACGCUGAGGAGCGAAAGCGUGGGGAGCAAACAGG